rnacentral:lncRNA from 1 species
GGUUAUAUAAUGAACGAAUUUGAAAAAUGACGUAAAAUUGACGUAAUUAUUGCAUUGCCUGAACCGAACGAACAAGCCUUAAGACUUAUCUGCAAAGAUAGAACGAAUCUUCAAAGACGUUGCCACAAGACGUUUAAUGAGAUCGUUAUAUUUAAAAAUACGAAGUAAAAACUUUAAUAUUACGCAUUUUUUUUGGAUAAAAUUAAAGAUGAAAAUUUGUAAAAUAAAAAAAUAUAUUGAAGAAAGAAAGGUUGUAACUAACUUGAAAGUUACAGACAAAGAAGGAAAAAAUUCAUUGUUUCGAGACAAAAGUCGAAUAAAUUUAACGUUUUAAAGUAGAAAGCGAAGAAAAGAAAAUAUUGUAAGAUGCGAGAAACAAUGUUUUGAAGAUGAACAACCAGCGUGAAAAAUAUAAUUGAUAAUUUUAAUCACGAUAACAAUGAAUGAAAUCAAUUAUCAGCUUCGAGUGGAGCUGUCGCAUGCGUCAUAAUGACGUCAUACCACGCAAGUGCUUCAGCCUCGUUUCGUCACAGUACAGUAGUGUAUAGCAGGCAGACGACGCCGAGCGCCGUUAUAUCACAUGUCGUGAGUAAAACCUAGGAAUGUUUAGAUUUACGAGACGUACGAGUCUGAGGUUUCUUCUAUUGACUGCCAUUGUUAUAGCCGGUACUUUAGUUGUCUUCUACCACACACUGGUCAGUGGACAACGAAAGAAUGGCUUGCAACACGAGGAAUGGUCUGACGAUCACGAUGUUCUCCCUUCGGGACAGGGAGGAGGUUUCUGGCCUUGGAUAUCGGACCAGAAUGAUGCUGUCUGCUCUUCUGUCAUACUCUCGCCCGAUGUAGAUAUUAAAACUGUCGAUAUUUAUCAGAAAUUAAGUUUCAAACCCAAUUAUAGAAGCUACUGGAAUUUGAAAUUUGAGAGAAAUUAUCAACUAAGAAAGGAGCAAUGGGACAAAAUGCCUCUCAGAGUGAUAGUUCUUCCUCACUCCCAUAACGAUCCGGGCUGGUUAAGAACCUUCGACAGCUACUACGUCUCUUUAACUACCCAUAUUUUGAAUAAUAUGGCAGACCAGCUGAACAGACACCACGAUAUGUCCUUCAUUUGGGCAGAAAUAUCUUUCUUUGCAAAAUGGUGGGACAGGUAAGUUUGCUCCACUAGUUAGGCUACAUUAAUAAUUGAAAUCAAGACUACGUUACGCAGUCUAUCCCGGAUAUUUGCUUGAUGGUUCUUAUUAUAAAUGGUUCCGGACAUGCUUCAGGUCCUCGGGAUGUGAGCGAUUUGAUUAGAAGAUUUAGAAUUAAUUGUGUAGAUUUAUUUUGGAUUCCAUCGUUAUAAAUUAAUGAAGUAGCGGGUACGUUGCCGGAAUAGAGGGCAUUCAACGUUACGUUGUCACUGAACUGAUAUAACGAUUAAAUUUUCCCCCGUACGCGUAACUUAUAAGGGAAAAUUUAUUCGUUAUAUCACGAUUUGGAGUAAAAAUAAACUGAAAUUUACCUAUUUAUCGAUGAAUAUGUUCAUUUCUAUGUUUAAUUUAGUCUAAAAAUCUUCGUUAAAUACUUUUCAAAUAUCUCUAAAAUUUUAAAACGUAACUCACUUCCCCACCCACCGGUAGCCGAAUGGAUAAAACAACCGAACAGUGGUGGUUAGUCGUGGGUUCGUGCCGUUUUUCUUCACGUUUGUAACACCUAAAUAGGGCCAAUUUCCCGUAGAAAGACUUUCUGGGAAGCAAUCCCUUGCUGCAACAUAUAAACAACAACAGCUUCACUUGUUACUAUUAUUUUAACAACACUUAUUACUUUCCUGCAAGUUCGAGGUAUUCUCUAGAUUUUUUUUAAGGUAGCAAAUAAGAAUUUCUGCUUAAAAAAUGGAUCUGGAGUAGUGACACUAUCCACAAUAAAGAAGUGUACGACCGUACAGUAUAAUUUUUUAUUUCUCGAAGAACAUAUCUGUGUCGUCCGAAUUAAAUUUUUAUUAAAUUAAAAAUCAAUAAAACAUGUUCAAAUAAUCGAUGCUCAUGCAAAUUUGUAACAUUUGAAAACUAUUGACUAUAUC